rnacentral:rRNA from 1 species
CAUGCAGUCGAACGAUGAAGCCCUUCGGGGUGGAUUAGUGGCGAACGGGUGAGUAACACGUGGGCAAUCUGCCCUUCACUCUGGGACAAGCCCUGGAAACGGGGUCUAAUACCGGAUAAUACUUUCUCCCUCCUGGGAGAAGGUUGAAAGCUCCGGCGGUGAAGGAUGAGCCCGCGGCCUAUCAGCUAGUUGGUGGGGUAAUGGCCUACCAAGGCGACGACGGGUAGCCGGCCUGAGAGGGCGACCGGCCACACUGGGACUGAGACACGGCCCAGACUCCUACGGGAGGCAGCAGUGGGGAAUAUUGCACAAUGGGCGAAAGCCUGAUGCAGCGACGCCGCGUGAGGGAUGACGGCCUUCGGGUUGUAAACCUCUUUCAGCAGGGAAGAAGCGAAAGUGACGGUACCUGCAGAAGAAGCGCCGGCUAACUACGUGCCAGCAGCCGCGGUAAUACGUAGGGCGCAAGCGUUGUCCGGAAUUAUUGGGCGUAAAGAGCUCGUAGGCGGCUUGUCACGUCGGUUGUGAAAGCCCGGGGCUUAACCCCGGGUCUGCAGUCGAUACGGGCAGGCUAGAGUGUGGUAGGGGAGAUCGGAAUUCCUGGUGUAGCGGUGAAAUGCGCAGAUAUCAGAGGAACACCGGUGGCGAAAGCGGAUCUCUGGGCCAUUACUGACGCUGAGGAGCGAAAGCGUGGGGAGCGAACAGGAUUAGAUACCCUGGUAGUCCACGCCGUAAACGUUGGGAAACUAGGUGUUGGGCGACAUUCCACGUCGUCGGUGCCGCAGCUAACGCAUUAAGUUCCCCGCCUGGGGGGAGUACGGCGCAAGGCUAAAACUCAAAGGAAUUGACGGGGGCCC